ACUAAUCCUUCUUCAAGUUUUCAAAAUGAUCCGAUAUAAUCCUACUAUUCGCUUACUAAUAAACAGUGUUAGCUUUUUAUUUUAACAGACGAAAAUAUCUUUUGCUCAUAUUGGAUGGAUCACCGACAGAAAAGAAAUAGAGUGGGAGGUAGUUGCCAUAAAGAGGAAAGGUGGAACCAUACAAGGUCGGCAUUGAAGGGAAAGAUAGCAUCAAAAGCAUCAUAGACAGGAUUGGAGGAGGAGGAG
rnacentral:lncRNA from 1 species